rnacentral:rRNA from 1 species
GGGAAUAUUGCGCAAUGGGCGAAAGCCUGACGCAGCGACGCCGCGUGGGGGAUGACGGCUUCGGGUUGUAAACCUCUUUCAGCAGGGACGAAGCGAGAGUGACGGUACCUGCAGAAGAAGCACCGGCCAACUACGUGCCAGCAGCCGCGGUAAUACGUAGGGUGCAAGCGUUGUCCGGAAUUAUUGGGCGUAAAGAGCUCGUAGGCGGUUUGUCGCGUCGGCUGUGAAAACCUGAGGCUCAACCUCAGGCCUGCAGUCGAUACGGGCAGACUUGAGUGUUGCAGGGGAGACUGGAAUUCCUGGUGUAGCGGUGAAAUGCGCAGAUAUCAGGAGGAACACCGGUGGCGAAGGCGGGUCUCUGGGCAACAACUGACGCUGAGGAGCGAAAGCGUGGGGAGCGAACAGGAUUAGAUACCCUGGUAGUCCACGCCGUAAACGUUGGGCGCUAGGUGUGGGGCUCAUUCCACGAGUUCCGUGCCGCAGCUAACGCAUUAAGCGCCCCGCCUGGGGAGUACGGCCGCAAGGCU